rnacentral:lncRNA from 1 species
GAUCCAUAAACAACUUCAUAAAUCAAACAUUAAUUCAUUAAAUUGAUUCUCUUUACUAGAAUCAAUACUAACACAAAAGAAACAAAAAAACUAAGAAGAAGAGAUAGCACCAAGCUUAUCCCCGGCUCAGUACUAUUGUAGCGAUGGUCUUCGGCUUACAACUCUCACAGUCUGGCCCUCAGCUUACAACUCUCACAGUCUGGUAUUUUCUUCCCCUCUCCCAUCCUCCUUAUACUACCUUGAAAUACCAAUUCCUAUACUACAGAUGAUAUCUACUUUUCCUGACUAUUCAUCCAUUCUACUUGCUGAACCACCUUUUCAGCAGUUAUCUAUCCCUGUUUAUACUACACACUAGGUAUCUACAUUCUUAAAAUAACUACUUAUUCUACAUAACUCCACUCCUAACUAUGCAGCCUCCUCGCAAACACUCAAUUGAUACCUAUCUAAAAAUUAUCUAAGAAAACUCUACAAAAAUUGCGAUCCCUCUAGCCUAUCUAUUUAAUCAAAUGCCACAGUAUCUGUUAUUAGUUCCACCAAUUCCGGUUCCAAUUGCAAAUCUUCGUCCUCCUCCAAUCCUUCCAUUGGCUCCUGCUUCAACUGAGCUAAAAGGUCUUCAUUGUACUUGCCCAGUUCAUGGACUUGAGCUUCCAAUUUCAGGAUCUGGGCAUCUCUCAAUUCCAACUGGCGCUAAAAGUGACUCCUUUCUUCUGGAAUUUUGAAAACUAGCAAUGUCGAUACUUGUGCUUGACCAAUAUUGACUAAAUCCUUUGCCAAUCUUGUCACCUCGAUGUUCAAGGCUUCAAUUUCAGCCCUUAACUGCUCCGUUUCACAUCUGUAUUGGUCACUCAAUACCAAUUUUUCUUGUGUCAAUAAUUCGGUCUUAUCUCGUUCCAUUACCAACUGAUCCUUCGCUUUUUCUAAUUCCAAAAUUGAAUGACUACGAGCCCGGAAUAGUUCUUGCCUAUGGAUCUCUACUAUACGCUCUCUUUCUUGUGACUGGCUCUUCACUAUUAACUCUUAACUGGAACUACUACUCUCAAAAAUACAAGAAAUACAAGAAAAUUGCACUCCAACCAACCCAAAACAACACCACAGAAUGACUUCAACUGGUGCCCCAUUCUUAUUCUUUUACUUAGUGGUGAUAAUGACAACAUGUUAUCCCUACUGUCCGUAAAAGGUAAUGAGAAGUAAUCUUUCUUAGUGGCCGCAUUUAACUUUCAAAAAACUUGACAUAUACUGAUUUUUCCAUUCUUCUUUGAUACCAUCACGAUUGGAGAAACCCACUCACUAUUUGGUAUAGGAUAAAUAAAACCAACUGGAAGAAGCUUGUCCAAUUCCUCCUUCAUCAUGAGGGAAUAUUUAGGAUUAAGGCGAUGUUGUCUUUGACGAAUUGGCGUAAUACCCUCUUCCAAAAUAAUCUGGUGCUCACACACGUCGGCUGGAAUCCCUUUCAAAUCCACAUAUGACCAUGCAAAGGCAGAUUUGUAAUGGACAAAUAACUAUUUCUAAGCAUCCAAUUCUGUACUGAUAAUAUCGGCAUAUAUUUUAAUUAGGUGUGGCAUUUCGUUGGUGCCCAGGUUAAUAGAUUGACACACAGGGUCUUUAACAACCUUUGAUUUAAUUGUCUUCUCCUGAUCUGAAUUUCUUAUAUUAUCGAACAUAUGAGAACCACCCAAAUCUGGUUCCAAUGUGCUGACUCUAUUGACUGCGAAAUUGUUCAUCCAUUCGGCAAUAGCAUGAUCCGAGUUAGUCGCAUCCUCCUGAUGCAGUAAAUAUUUGCUGGGACUUCCACAUUGGUAGACUCCUGCCUUUCCUUUUGAAGUAUUUUGUCCUACCCCAAAUUGUGGUGAACCUAUAGUAUCGUCACCUAUCUCAAUCGAUUGACUCUUAUUGUCCGAUGUAAAUUUUGAUUCUAACAAUUGAGAUUCUCCAUGAUAUUGUAUCGGGUACAUCUGUAAAAUAAUCUGGUCCCGACCUUUUUUAAUUGUCAAUGUGCCUCGGCCCCAAUCGUUCUUAGCUUUUGCUUGAUAAAGCCAAGGUCUACCCAAUAAAAUGGGAUAUGAUAACAUAGAACUCUGUAAUUGGAAUACAUUAUAAUCAAUUUUGUAUAUCAAUCCCACGAUUACAAAGGCAAUAUUGCAUAAGAUUUCCAUUGGCUUUACCCGACUAUGAUCUGCCAUUCGCAAGACCAAUGUCAUAGGUAGCAAUUGCUUUAGAUCCAAGUCCUCCAUUGUAUCCGUAUUCAUUAAAUUCACACUGGAGCCACCAUCGACUUGAACACCCAAGAUCAUAAUACUGUCAAUCAAAACAUCGAUGGUUGGUGCACCUGAGUCAGGGUUCAAACUGACUUCACAAACUUCUUUAUUACGGUGCCUAUGUCGUAUUAACGAUGAAUUCAAUAUAGAACGGUACUCUGGUGCGACCGCUAGAAGUUGCUUCAUAGAAAUAGAAGGCCGAAUAGCGUCCAAAUCCUUCAAAAUAUCAUAGGGUUCCAUAUUUAGGGUAAUUUCCAAUGCCCUCUUUCUUUUCAUUGGUUUGAGUUUAACUCCGUUGUCGUGUUGUAACACGAGUAUACUGUGAAAAUAUAAAGAAAAGGGACUUUUAUUAAUAGUCAGUUACCUCGAAUAUUGGGAGCAACGACCAACUCCAGUGCAAAUAUUGAGUGGCCAGGUUCAGUCACCCCGUUACAGUCAGCCAGGGCAUACUGAAAUGCUGCGUUCAUUUCCAAUAACGGGAGUCAGCAGGAAGGGAAAGGACCAAUUCAUGCGACGGAAGAGCCUGGUUUGAAGAGCCAAUUGGAUCCAAUUUCGAGAAUCCAAUCCGGGUCCUCUUACCCAAUAUGAGACCUGAAUUGGUCGGGCAACCCAAUGUAGACUAAUUACGGGAACAUCCAGGUUACUACGGGCAUCUUACCUAAUAUGAGACCUGCAUUGGUCGGGCAACCCAAUGCAGUCUAAUUACGGGAACAUCCAGGUUACUACCGGCAUCUUACUCAAUAUGAGACCUGGAUUGGUGGGGCGACUCAAUGUAGAUCCGAGUACGGGGUUUCGAUUCUGUUUCAGGCUGUCCUAUUCUCUGUGCCGUUUCAGAGAAUGUUAUUUUCGGUAAAUGGAUCUCUUAAAGGUAAAAAUGGAGGAGGAAGCUCUGACGGUAGGAGCCAAUUUCGGAUCUAAGCUCUGACGAUGGGAGCCAAUUUCGGAUCCAAGACGGAAGAUUGAAGAAAUUUAGAGGAUAAGGUUAGGGAAAGAGAGGGGGGGGGGGUUUUUUGGAUCGAAGAGCUAGCUUCAAGCUUUUUGCAAGGUUACUAGUUCGGUUUUCAUUGGAGGUUUUUUGAAGGUCAAGGGGAUUGGAGAGGAGCUUCAUGCUUCGGGUCGGGGAAGAAAAGACGGAGAAUUGGAUUUUUCUUCUUCAUAGAGUUUUGAAAAGACUGAGGCAAUCGUUGCUGAAGUCUGUGUUGUAAUGGUGAAUCGGGAUUUUUUAAUGAAGUGGAUUUGAUUACUCUUGACUGUUUUGUGAAAUCGAGUUACGUCUGUGAUUGAAGGAUUAAAAGGGUGUCUAUAGGAUUGAGUAUGUGGAGUGAAUGAAAUUUGUUGGGUUAAUCUAACGAGACAGUCAGUGGAUACAAGAUCGUGAGUACAAAGUGGUAUCGAAGAUUAACAGUUUGGGUUGUUUGGGGUUCUCUGUAACGUUUAGAGACCUACCGGCCGGGACAAAAAGGACUUCAGUGAGCAGUCGAAGGGACAUCCGUAUAGAUUUACGGUGUAUUCUUGCAGUCGUUUAUAUUCUAACAGUCAAAAACUGAUAGAUUGCUUGACUACUGGCGAAUCUCCAUACUACCUUCUACAAUUAGACGCCCGACGCGUUCUCGAGUAGGAAAGCACGUAAUACGACACCAUGAUGUAAGAUAUUCUUCUACUUUGGACUCGAAAUUAGAAUAGUAGCUGGGGCUUCCUUGAAAUUCCCACCCCCAAGAGGAUCUUUCAAUGGAUAGGACGUUUCUUGGAACUGCGUAGAGAUCGAAACUACUUGGAACAGAACUGAAGCCUCCAUAAUUGGGACCUCAUUGGGUUGUGCCACCGAUUCGGGUCUCAUACUGGGUACAAAGUCCAUAACAGGACCUGGAUUGGAUGGUCCCAGCAAAUUGGUCCGUGGAACCGAAUUGGGUUUCUCAAUCUGUUGAAGUGUCAAUAUUGGGAUACGUCUCAAUACUGAUAUUGGUUCGUUUAGUCUCAUGGACGGUGCUACUUGCUCUCUUGUGAUUGGUUCAUCCAUGUUCUGAAAUAGAUUCUUAUCUUUUUGUUGGCCUCUGGUAAGUAUUGCAUUUACCACCUCGAUACGAUGUAUUGGUGAGUCUUGUUGAACAGGGCCUUUGUCCUCCGUCGGUUGGCUUGUUUGCAUUUGCUGGUCUCGGUUAUUAUAAUUAAAGGGCGUAUUGCACUGCUGAUAAGUGUGACCAGACUGCUUACAAUUUCCACAUAUUGGAGCAUAGUCAUUACUAGCCCUUGGAUUAGGACAUUCACUCGCAUAAUGUCUGAUUUGUCUGCAGUGAUAGCAACAAAGUGGUCUCCUGCCAACUCCUUCAGGGAUAAUGGGUGUCUCUACUGGUAUAUAACGGCUAGGUCUGUUCCAUGUCGGAUGAGUAAAGGAUCCUGGUUGACCCAUUGUUACUGUAGAGUCUAGCAUUGGCUUCAUCAUGGGUAGAUAUUGAUGGUAUCCUGGUUGAUUCAUUGCCAAUCCGUGAGUAUUGGAUAUACCUUUUUAGUGAAAUUCAGAGUUGAUGAAAUUAGAAUAAUUCCUAUUUUGCUUAUUCGCUCGAUUUCUAUUCCAACCAAACUUAUUAUUCGUCUAUACUUGAUUGACAUCCCACGAAGUUGGUUAGGUCAUUAUCUGGUUACUGAGUUGUUGUUGCUUCUGUAAAUUCCAAUAGUUGGUGGUAAUAUACUUGCCCCUGCAAAAGGUACAUUGUAUAGUCAUUUGGGGUGGUGAAAGAUAUUCUGUUACUAAAUGACCUUGUCCCUUACAAUUACUGCAGUAGACAUUUGGAUGCAUAUUGCUUGAUUUAUGCCUUUUUUCUUUAUCUUUGGCCAGAUUCACAGCCAAUUCAUUCAUUUUUUUUGUCAAUGUUAACAACAAUGACUCAUUGGGAUCCCUUGUUACCAAUGUAUUUGACAAUUCCUUUGUAGGUAUUGAUUUUUGAUAUGCGGAAUAAGGCGCAUACGAAUGUGAUGAUGAUAGUGGUACAGCUUGCAAUGGAACGACAUCCACUAUUCCCUGUGGAAUUGUACCAUAAUAAUUCCUUCCCAGAUAACUUUCGGAUGCGUCAUUCCAAUUUUUCAUUUGAUAACCUCCUUGAGAUGAAAUCAUCGUGGCUCCAACUGUUAAGUUUUGGUCAUAGUGACGUUCCUUUCAUACUUUUGCUUGCUCAAGAGAUGAUGCAAUGGUGGCUGAUUGGACCUCUUUUACAAACAUUUUCAAUUUUAGUGGGUGUAGUCCAUUAACCAACAUGGACAACACAAAUGAUUACAACAUUUGGUUAUUUGGCCAUUUUCGAAGUAUAUCUGCUAUACGACCAUAAUAUGACUGUACCGCUUCCCGUGGUACCAUUCUGUUGUUCAUUAAUUUUUCUCUAAGACGUUCUUCAAAACCAAUUGGUCAAAAAUGGGCUAAAAAUGUAUUUUUCAAUGCCUCCCAAUUGAUGAAUUGUCCCAUAGGUUGACAGUUAUACCACUCAAAUGCUGUGUCUUUCAAUGUCGCUGGCAGCCAUCUCAGCCAAAUGGCUUCUGUUCUUCCAUUAUUGUCUACACAGGCCAUCAAGAAUUGAAACAAAUGUUGAUCUGGAUUCGCACCCAAAAUCUCCGAAAAGUAGGUAGUAGCGCGACACUAGUCAUACAAUCGCCUACUGCACCAAUUUGUACUGCAAUCGAAAUUACUGGUCCUCCUGACGCCAUUGAAUUUCUUGUUCCGCUAAACUCCAUUUUAAAAUAAUCUCUGCUUUUCUUUAUUCUAAUUUUCGAGCUCUCAAUACUCCUUGAUUUACUGUUAUUUUUUGCAAUUAGUUUUAUUGGUUGAAUUGUACGUGAAAACGUCGGAUUUUGAAAUACAAUAUAAUUAUCUUUAUUGGUGACCAAUUUGUGCCAAUCUAAAGAGCCACUAUUGCUCAUUUCAGCGGUACUUUUUACUGAAAAAAUACCCAAUAGAGUACCAAAUUCUUCUACGCCUCCUUUUCUUUCAGUUAACGGCCUCAAGAUUUCCACUGGAAUGUUAAAAAAAAAUUUCGUGAGUGUUCUUGGCAGUUUUUCUAAUGGUACAUACGACUGCAGAAUUAACAGUUUGUCCAGUUCUUGAUAUGUUCGGAUGCACCGACAAGCUUGCAACCAUGGUUUAAUCCAAUUCUGUCGAUGCUUCCUUUUAAGAUUGCAUUCUUGCUUCUAAGUAAGUUCUUUCCUUGCGCUCUUCUCUGUCUUUCUCUCAACUGAUUUAUUUUUCUCGAUGCAAUGCUCUCGUUCUUAUUAACCAUAAUCUUGCUUCAAACACUAUUGAAAUCGUCUUCCAUUGCCAAUUUUUUCACACGUUUGGUAAUUAAUUCCUAACACUCAAAGCUAUUAUCACUUUCCCACAGCAGUGCCAAAAUGUGAUUGCUUGUUUUACUUAUUCUGGAAGAAACCUCCAAGCAUAAAUCCAUAUAGGGAGAUUCGAACACGGGGAUUGACCAUGUAUAUGAGUUCCAAUUGUUAGGGUCACGCAAUUAAUUGCUACUGCUGAAUGCUUACCAUACCAAAGAAUACUUAAUUUUUUCUCCUACUGUCCAUUCUCUCAUAUCAAUACAAUAACAUCCACGACAACGAUUUCAGUACCUUGUGUAAUUCACGAAUACACAAGCAUAUUCCAAACCCUAGAAUGAAUAACUUCCAAUCCACAAAAUCUAAUCAAGAGAAUUCCUUCAAUUACAAUUCCUCUCCACUAAACUUACAACCUUGCGAUAAACAGUGAUUGGAAACUUCUAUACAUCCUCAAUCUUUCACAACAAUUGAUAAACAGUGAUCCAUAAACAACUUUGUAAAUCAAACAUUAAUUCAUUAAAUCAAUUCUCUUCACUAGAAUCAAUACUAAUACAAAAGAAACAAAAAAACUAAGAAGAAGAGAUAGCACCAAGCUUAUUUCCGACUUAGUACUAUCGCAGCGAUGGCCCUCGGCUUACAACUCUCACAGUCUGGCAUUUUCUUCCCCUCUCCCAUCCUCCUUAUACUACCCUGAAAUACCAACUCCUAUACUACAGAUGAUAACUACUUUUCCUAACUAUUCAUCCAUUCUACCUACUGAACCACCU